rnacentral:rRNA from 1 species
GACGAACGCUGGCGGCGUGCUUAACACAUGCCAGUCGAACGGAAAGACCCUGCUUUUGUGGGGUGCUCGAGUGGCGAACGGGUGAGUAACACGUGAGUAACCUACCCUUGACUUUGGGAUAACUUCAGGAAACUGGGGCUAAUACCGGAUAGGAGCUCCUGCUGCAUGGUGGGGGUUGGAAAGUUUCGGCGGUUGGGGAUGGACUCGCGGCUUAUCAGCUUGUUGGUGGGGUAGUGGCUUACCAAGGCUUUGACGGGUAGCCGGCCUGAGAGGGUGACCGGCCACAUUGGGACUGAGAUACGGCCCAGACUCCUACGGGAGGCAGCAGUGGGGAAUAUUGCACAAUGGGCGGAAGCCUGAUGCAGCAACGCCGCGUGCGGGAUGACGGCCUUCGGGUUGUAAACCGCUUUCGCCUGUGACGAAGCGUGAGUGACGGUAAUGGGUAAAGAAGCACCGGCUAACUACGUG